GAGGAGAUAGAGAGGAAGUUGGAGAGAAGAAGAGGGAAAGAUUUGCUUGCUUAUAUGAUUAAGAUAAAAAUGUAGAGUAUAUAUAUGCCAAUUGCUAAGAUUUAAUUACUUUGUGCAGGAGGAGAUGGAGGAAGUUGGAAAGAAGAAGAGGGACGGAUAUGGUGAUUGUUAGAAGAAGGUGCAGAGAAGGAGAAGCAGAAGCAGAAGCUGAAUAUUCAUCAUCUUGUCCAGUUAGAAGAAGAAGUUGUAGAGAAAGAGAAGAACUGGUGGAUACCCUUCUGUGCUUAUACGAUACGUGAUAGCUUUUAGAAUUUCCAAAGAGGCAACGCAACCUCUGCUUUCUGGGAAAACGAUUUUGUGAACAUUACCUUAUUAUGUUUGCAUUGUGUUUUGAUUGACUUUUGUUUUUCACCACCCAAUUAAAUUCGACCCAACUUCUUCAAGCUAUUGCUCAAAUACAAGUAGUCAAUGUUUGAUUAAUCUUGGACACCCUGCCCUUGCUUUAGCGGAUGCAAAAGCUGCCAUUGCUUUAGCAGCUACAAAAUCAA